rnacentral:rRNA from 1 species
UGAGCAACCUGCCCUUGACUCUGGAAUAACAGUUGGAAACAGCUGCUAAUACCGGAUAUGACCUCUGACGACAUCGUCUGGAGGUGGAAAGCUCCGGCGGUCAAGGAUGGGCUCGUGGCCUAUCAGCUUGUUGGUGAGGUAACGGCUCACCAAGGCUUCGACGGGUAGCCGGCCUGAGAGGGCGACCGGCCACACUGGGACUGAGAUACGGCCCAGACUCCGUAGGAGG